AGGCUAUUAGAUGACAAGCGAUUUUAUUUUGCAAAACAAUCACUAUACAGCAACAAAUACAAUUGCAAAUUGGAUUGAAAAACAUGAACUACCUACCACCAGCCAUUCAAGAAAUGCCUUUUAUGGUAACAGGCUCUAGAAUUAUCAGAAAAAAACACAGGUUUGUAACAGCAGACUGUAUUCCUCAAAAUCCCAGCAUACAGCAUGUUUUAUUUGUUGGCUUUUUCUCUUUGCUAAAGUUGAAGUGGCUUUUACGCUUGACUUUUCCACGUGGGAAACUAAUUUACCUUCCUGCAGUGGGAACCGCGUUCGCAGCCGCGCUAGUGAGGGAACGCUACACACACCCGGGCUAGAAUUCUGUCUGCUUCAGGUUUCACAGCCAAAGCGAGCUACUCUUCAAGGCGUUUGCCUGUGAAGGGACGUUUUCGUCCCCUAUUUGGUUUUCGAACCCUAUUUGGUCCAGCGCGGCAAAAACUUCUGCUCACGUGUGGUAUUCCACACAGGCUGCCUUCCGACUCCCUUUGGGUCGUGUGCAUUGGCAAAUUUGUAUUUGUAAGCAGUCGUGAUGAGGUUACUACUGUACCUUAACAUAGCAUUGAAUGGAUAAUACCAUUUACUGCUGUGCAGUGGAAGUAUACACAGCCCUAAUGAGCGCAAAAUUAUCCUCAUCAGCAUUAGUUUUACCUUUACUGUUGCUGGACACAGGUUUGCUCUACUUUGAUUUCUUUCUGCUUGUGGUUACACAGAAAUAGAACUCCGCAGCUGGGGCAGAAGCGCCUUUUCUUUUGUCUAUACAGUUUGACAGAUUAUUAAUUUGAGGCUCCCCCCCAAGCUAUCCAAACAGGGUUAACCGUUCCAUUUGUCUGGAUUAUCUCUGCAUUGUUACAAAGUCGGGUCUCAGAUACCCAACGUACCUGCUGGCUCAACACGCCUGCGGAAAAGAAACACUACGGAUGCAGUUUCCGGGAAGCUGGCUCCAUCCUUAGUGGGCAUUACAUAUUUACAAAACUGUUGUUUUCAAAACCAACACUCCUCUUGAGGAUUAAAGACUAAUAUGAGCUUUUUCAGGGAACAUCUAGAGUCAUGUAACAACUCGGUUUUUAUUUAACAGCACAAAACUCUUGAUUUUUUAUUUUCAUCUAACUUCACAGCAUUCUAGGAUUCUUUCUAUGGAAGGAUGAUUACGAUUACAAAGGUCUUGGCUUGAAUCAGGACAAGAAAGCUCAUUUUAAUGCAUGAAAUAAAUGACUUGGUGUGUCACACCAAUCUAACUUGGGACUCAUAGGCGUAUUAACUAAGCUUCAUCAUCUGUAUGUCAAUUUUAAAAGCAGAAUAAAAAUACUUGAGUCGCAAGUUAACACUGUUCUGACUAGCUGGUGUCCAGCUUCAGAGAAGCUGAGGUUCGGCAGUACCACAGACUCUCUCCCAUGUUGGCAAAAGGCAUAAAAAAACACUGCAAGGCCAAUUUUUGUUUGUUGAUGGUACGAUCAGAGCAACAUGAUAAAAAUAAUGUUUCGUCGUUUUUUCUUCCUGUAUUUUGUUUUUCUGGAACAAUGGGGAGGAGCUUUUAACGCACCUCACUUGGCAUUGUUUCCAUGUGAACUCUUAAGCAGUCACUCUGAGCUAGAGUACAACAAAUACAAGGCAGAAAUCAGAAUCCUCCAGAUGCACUUAGCGCGGUUCUAAACUCACUGUCCUUUGUAUAAAACAACCGACUUACAAGCAGUAUUAGGAACUUUAUAGUGUGAAAAAGCUUUUUGCAGAGCAGAAAUGUCAUGCGUGGGGCUGUUAGGAGUUCAUCCUCAGUAACGUUUUUGGAGUUUUAACCAUUUUGUUUUGUCUUUGUACUGCUGUGACAGCUUAGCUAAAAUUCCCCAUUCGGUCCACUGAAGAUCUAUUGUUUAUUAAUUGUGCAUUUCCUACCUGAAUUUGAUUAUGUGGAAUUCUGUGCUAUUAAUUACAAUAAUCCUUCUCCACAGACAUAAAAAUGUUCUCUGUGUGUCUUUUCAGAUCAAACCCCAACAUACACACGCACACAUACAAAUUAAGUAAAAAGAACAGAUCAAAAGCUUCCAACACACAAUGUUAACCUAAUA